CCUCAAAUGUGCGAUUUCAAUUGCUAGUGAAGUGGCGGCUAAAGGGGGAGAAAAUGUGGGCUACAUUCCCGGAAAUCACAGAGGGAAAAGUGGGAUGCAGAGGGCAAUGCAUGGUUGCCUCUAUAUCAAAAAAGCACUGCAGUAUGAAACCCAGCGGCUGCUUCUUCUCCAAUGUAGUGGACUGAUGUGUGUGGGUGUUAAGCCUGAAUGCCCUUGGCUUUCUCCUGUUCAGAUUAUGUAUCGUCCAGGAAACGAAGAUGGCCUACAUGUCCUUCCUAUUGCCAGAAAUACUGAAUAGACCAGCCCACUACACACAGCAACCUCUCUGUGAGAGUAGUGAGUAAUGUUUGGUGAUGGAGAGAUGGAGACCUUUCGUUUUGUAACAGCUCACGGAGCACGAGUGAUGCUAGCUGAGCCACAGGGGCAUGAGAAAUGAGUUUUUCUUCCUUUUUCCUGCGACUAAGAGCUCUUCUACCCACUCCCAUUCUCCAACGUUAAACAGCUCAUCUUACUCCGCCACCUCCACCACUGCAGUUACAUAAAAAGACAUUAAAAGGGGCAAUAAUCUGUGACUUUUAACAAGUUCAACAAUAAAC